GAUGAACGCUGGCGGCGUGCCUAAUACAUGCAAGUCGAACGAGGUGCCUUUGUAGCAAUACGAAGGUAUCCUAGUGGCGAACGGGUGAGUAACGCGUUGGUGACCUACCCCAAAGUGUGGGAUAACAGAUCGAAAGAUCUGCUAAUACCGCAUGUGGUCUUCGGAUUUAGAAACUGAUGACUAAAGGAGCAAUUCGCUUUGGGAGGGACCUGCGUCCCAUCAGCUAGUUGGUGAGGUAAUGGCUCACCAAGGCUACGACGGGUAGGGGACCUGAGAGGGUGGCCCCCCACAAUGGAACUGAAACACGGUCCAUACACCUACGGGUGGCAGCAGUAGGGAAUAUUGCACAAUGGGCGAAAGCCUGAUGCAGCAACGCCGCGUGUGCGAUGAAGGCCUUCGGGUCGUAAAGGCACUUUUCUGAGGGAUGAGCAAGGACAGUACCUCAGGAAUAAGUCUCGGCUAACUACGUGCCAGCAGCCGC
rnacentral:rRNA from 1 species